CGUGCAGGCGGUUCCGUAAGUCGGACGUGAAAGCUCCUGGCUUAACUGGGAGAGGUCGUUCGAUACUGCGGGACUUGAGGUUGGGAGAGGGACGUGGAAUUCCCGGUGUAGUGGUGGAAUGCGUAGAGAUCGGGAGGAACACCAGUGGCGAAGGCGGCGUCCUGGCCCACACCUGACGCUGAGACGCGAAAGCGUGGGUAGCGAACG
rnacentral:rRNA from 1 species